rnacentral:rRNA from 1 species
UACGUAGGGUGCAAGCGUUAUCCGGAAUUAUUGGGCGUAAAGAGCUCGUAGGCGGUUUGUCGCGUCUGCUGUGAAAACUGGGGGCUCAACCCCCAGCCUGCAGUGGGUACGGGCAGACUAGAGUGCGGUAGGGGAGAUUGGAAUUCCUGGUGUAGCGGUGGAAUGCGCAGAUAUCAGGAGGAACACCGGUGGCGAAGGCGGGUCUCUGGGCCGAUACUGACGCUCAGGCACGAAAGCGUGGGGAGCAAACAGG